rnacentral:lncRNA from 1 species
CAAGAGGCAGAAGAAGGAAAUUUAACUGAGUUUUUGACCAAAGAAUUUUCCAAGUUCUGGAAUUUGGAAGAAAAGGAUUUUAAAAUUGUGUCGGCUUUCAGACUUGGAAGAUUCACAAAGAAGGAGAGGCCCAGAGACUGUUUGAUUACAUUGAGAUCAAAGGAGGAAAGGGAUAAGAUUCUGGGCCUACAUUACGGAAAGUCACUGGAGGUUUUGGACAGAAGAAUUGAAAUUUAUAAAGAUAUCCCAAGACAACUGCUGGAUCUUAGAGCCGCCUAUUCUGAACUUGCUAAACUACUAAGGAGCAACGCAAUUCCAUUCAGGUGGGAAUUUCCACAAGGAAUAUCUUUUACCUUUAAAGGGAGAAAGGUCAAAGUUAGAACAUUGGAAGAGAGAGACAAAUUUUUGGCUACAUACGGAGAGGACCUUCAAAAAGGAACUGAAUUACCCCUUGGGCCUGGGGCAAAGCCAGUAUCAACACCAGCACCUGGGGAACUUGAAGAUCCAGAGAAGACACCACCCCUGGAGAAAUAACCAGAUAGAUCCAGGAUGUCUCUGCAAUUGCUGAGUUGGAAUAUUAAUGGUUGUAAUAUUCCGGAAAAGGAAGAAAAUAUUUCAUAUAUUAAAAAAGAACAAUUGGACAUUAUCUGUUUACAAGAAACACAUGUGACGAGGCUCCACAGAAAAGUGUUAAUAAAUAAAAGAUUGGGCCAGGAAUUUGUUUCGUCGGACAAAGUUAAGAAGAGAGGCGUGGUGAUAUAUGCAAAAGAGAGCCUGUCACCUAAAUUCUUAUUUAAAGAUGAACAUGGAAGAAUUUUGGCCAUUGAGAUACAAUAUCAAGGAGAGAAACUGUUGAUAUUAGGAAUCUAUGCACCUAACGAAGGGAAAUCGGAAUUUUACAAGAAGCUGCAGGGGACAAUGCUGGAAUAUCUGGAUUACAACAACAUCAUAAUGAUGGGAGACAUGAACGGGGUCGUGUCAACUAACAUGGACAAGUCACAAAGUCAAAAUGUUACAAAAGACGGCAGACUACCUAAAACUUUUUUGAAAUGACUGACAAUAUGGAUUUGAUUGACAUUUGGAGGACAAAGAACCCACUAGGUAGAGAAGGAACAUUCUUUUCUGAAGCCCAACUGACCUGGACAAGAAUCGACCAAAUAUGGAUUUCCAGAGGCCUGGCACCUAAGGUCAGAAAAGUGGAAAUCUGCCCAAAGACCUGCUCUGACCAUAAUGCAGUAAAGAUGGAUAUGACACUACUACCAACUGGAUCCUUUAGAUGGAAGAUGAAUGACAAUUUGUUUAGAGAUCAGGAAAUUACCAAGAAGGCCCAAAAAGUUUUGAAGGACUAUUUUGAGAUAAACAUGAACAAUUCGGUGGAAAAAGAAUUGUCUGGGACGCAAGCAAAGCUGUAAUGAGGGGAUUCUUGAUACAACAGAAUGUAGUAAAGAAAAGAACACAAAAUGAGAAAAAAGAUAAGAUCUUGGAC